rnacentral:rRNA from 1 species
CCUACGGGAGGCAGCAGUGGGGAAUAUUGCACAAUGGGGGAAACCCUGAUGCAGCAACGCCGCGUGAGCGAUGAAGGCCUUCGGGUCGUAAAGCUCUGUCCUAAGGGAAGAAUACUGACGGUACCUUAGGAGGAAGCCCCGGCUAACUACGUGCCAGCAGCCGCGGUAAUACGUAGGGGGCUAGCGUUAUCCGGAAUUACUGGGCGUAAAGGGUGCGUAGGCGGCCCUUCAAGUCAGAGGUGAAAGGCUACGGCUCAACCAUAGUAAGCCUUUGAAACUGUAGGGCUUGAGUGCAGGAGAGGGGAGUUGAAUUCCCAGUGGAGGCGUUAAAAGCGUUGAUAUUGGGGGGAACACCAGUUGCGAAGGCGGCUCUCUGGACUGUAACCGACGCUGAGGCACGAAAACCUUGGGAGCGAACAGGAUUAGAUACCCUGGUAGUC